CAUUCGUUAAGGUUUCAAGUAUAUUCAUAUACAGAAGCAUCAGAAAAUUAAAUUGUCGGUUCUGACCAAUAAAAAAGAGAAAAAAAAAUUGUCGGCAGAGAAAAGUGAUAAAUUUUCAAGUAGUCGCCUUCUAACAACCCAAUUCAUCUUGGGGGUCUGCUCUUGCUCCUAACCUUAUGCUUUCACACUUCAAUCUAUUUUGGCCUUCUAAUAUUAUGCCAAUCUAAUGAUGCCCCACCAAAAAUAGCUACUAAAAAGCACUUCAAUUACAUCUCCGUUUGCACAUUCUCCUUGCCAUACUAAAAGGGUAAAUUGGUCAUUGAAAAUCCCCUUUGAUUCAGAGUAGAAACGACAUUUUAAUUGCGUCAUAAUCCAUCUGUUGUGGCCUAAUGAAAUCCACAUUAUUCUUAUUCAAAUUAAUUAUGUCUUAUUAAGACUUAGAAGUCCAUAGCAAAGCAUUCGGCAUUCAGUUGCUUUCAAGACACAAACCACUAAUGCUUGAGCACAAUCCAUGGGAUCGUCACCAUCUACAACUAAUGCCACAGAAAUUACAACAGCCUUGGAUCAGAUUGAGGAUACGACACGACACCGUAGCUGCAAACUACAAUAUCUAGCAUCUUAAACAAGCAGUAGCGCCACUAGAAGUUUAGGAAAACAGCAGGAGAUGGUGGAAUGUAUUCAAAGUGCUGCCAGUCAACCAUAUCCAUGUGUACUCGCGUCAAUGAUCAUAGAAUUACAACAAUAUCGAUAAAUCUCCCCCUCGUUUCUAACUCCUUUGGGGUAGGAAUCACUCGACGAAAAGCUAUUUGAUGAAUAAUAGAUUUACAAGCAAAUCAAAUUCCUAAAUAUACAUCAAUUGAAUCCAUCUGCAGAUCAACCCGAAUAGUAUAAUACCAGGGGAAUCGUUGGUAGAAUGUAUUCAAAGUGAUCAAUGAUAAUACUAUGAAAACCAUCAGAAUCUGUCAAUUAAGAUGAAUUGACCAUUCUCGGUAGAAUAGUCAAGCAGUUCCAAUGACGCGAAUAUGGAAUGGGGGACCUCGACAGAAUAUUGGCUCAUCAACUGAAUCAGUUUUGGCACGGGUUCUGAGGACAUCAUUAGCUUCUUCAAUCACAGCAGCAGCCACUAGAGUAUACUCACCAGGGACGAGAAAAUGCAACGAGAAAGAAUGCUUAGAUUCUUGAAGGGGGGGAACCUCCAUAGCUAUCCCAUUCAAAACACCUACAAUAAAUUAGAGCACGCCAGAGUUGCAUAUUAACAAUUUCAAUUGCAUAAAUAUGCAAUAGCAAGUUGUUUUCCAGCCUUGUGAGUGACAACAGAUCAUACAAACAGUGCUGCUUGAAAAACAAAACAAAAUAAAAGUACUAGCAUCCAGAGCCAAACACUUAAUCCCAUAAAAGUAUCUGGAUAAAGGAAUAAAAAUGAAAUCUUACCAGCCCAUAGGACAGUGGCCUUUGUACCCUCGAAGCAAUUUUCUCCAGCCACAUCCCUGCAUGUAAUGCUAAGACUCAUCCUAAUGAUUUCCUUGGUGUUGUUGCGAACUAUGACCUCCAUUGGGGUCAUGUCAUAAGCCAUCACAGAACCUUCAUGCCCAGAGUCAUCGGGCAUAUCAGAUUCUUGUGGGACACUAUUUCUAACAAGCCUGAAGCUAAAUGUCAAUGGAUCUGGUAGCAAUACAUCCACAACAGAUGUCUGAAGCGCUGCCUGUAUGGCAUCCUUCAUAUUCAGUUCUCCAGAGCUGUUUCGUCCUGAUUGCCACCUCACCUUUAUCCUGGAAAUGAGGUUCUUAAUUGAAGCAUUUAAUUCAGCCUUGGCAUUCUUUUCUGAGAAGCUCGAAUUUCUGCCAACACCAUCAGGCUGAAAAUCCUUCAUGAAAAAGGAACCAUCAAGAAUGGGCAACUUAAAAUGCUCCAGAGGUAUUAAUACCCUCGCAGAAUGAUCCCUAUCAAUUCUUGUUUUUGGACAACAAUAUUCAGUAGCAUCUUGAACAGCAGAAAGGUUAUCCAACUUAUCUUCGCAGCUGUCAAGCUGGACAGAAACGCUAAUUUCAAACACAACAUCAGUUGGAUUAGACAAUUCUAAUUCAAGAAAACGUAGCCCCCAACUUCCUCUGAAAGGAUCAAUUUUUAGCAAUCCAUCCAUCUUACUUUUUGAACCAACAGCUUCUUUGCUACCAUUAGUCUCAACAUGAACUGGUUCUGGAAGAUUUAGGCCAACAUGUGCAGGAAUUUCCAUUGAAAGCAAGCAAGCUUUCACAAAAGACAAACCUUGCAAAACACAAAUGUGUAAGGGAACCACCAGGCGUCUACCAGGAGGAAAAACAGAUUCUUUUGUUGGAGGAUCUCCAGAAUCUGUCAAUGGCCCAGCAUAAUGAAUCAACAAUGUGGGGCUGCUACCAUCCUUUAACUGCCUCCCCAUACUUCCAGAGGCAAGCUUACCACCAGUAAUAUCAGGGUCUACUGGUCCAUGCUGCCAGGCUUUCAAUGUCACAGGUAGGAUCACUUCUGCACCAGGCUUCAAAGGAAGGGCAGAUUUUAAGGUUUCAUAUGGUAUUGAGACAACAGAAUCUUGGUUUUUACCAGAGAGUGAUAUAUGUGCUUGUUCAACUGGAACUAUCCCUGCAUUAGCCAGACUAAUCCAGACAUCACGUAUUUCACCUUCAUAUAAAACUAUUGAACCAUCACCACCUACAACAUGAGAAACUAAUAAUGGAAUUGGAGGUACAACAGAAAUAUUUGGAACCAACACAUUUCUCAGCCUUGGAGACCCACAACAUCUGAAAGGAUCAGAAAGCACAAGCCCUUGUGCUGCACCAAGAAGCAGAUUAUCAACAUCCCCGAAAAGGUGUUCAGAAAUAACACCAAAACAGUGAACAGUACACCCUGGAAUUGUUACUGACCCCACAGAAGUCGGGAUUCCAGAUAAGGUUAUCACCUUUGAUGAAUUAGGCAGAAGAUCUACACUAACAGGAAAAGCAUCAAAAUUUCCUGAAUGAACAGAUAGGUAUAUACUAUCAACCCUUAAAUCAAAGCCACAUGGAUUUGCCAACUCCACUAAGACCUGGACUGGUUCGCCAACAAUCCAUAUCAGCUCCUGCUUGCUGCUGUCAUUUGGCUCCCCUUUGCUGAAUGGUGUGUAUAUAAAAGGCCCUGAAGGAGCAGAUCCAGCCCACCAGUCUUCUCUUGCUGGAUUGCGUUUUACAAUGUCCAUUUGACAGGGAUAGGGAGGAAAGGAAUAUAACCUUACGAAAGGUAAGGCUGGAUCAGCACAGCGAGUUCCGGAAGGCAACCUCUGGGCUGACUUAGUAAGUGCACUAGCAAGGCCAUUCUGCCCAGCUGGUGUGAUUAAAGGAUAAUAAGAUCUUAGUAACCGUGCAGCAGCACUCCAUGCAGCAAGGGGAUCUCCUGAACGAACAGCAGCCAGCAGUAUCUCCCUCAGUACAACCAUCUGCAGUGUGCUCCACUGAGACUCAAAUAAAGAAACUACUGAUUGGUGAUGCAUUUUCCCACUAUCAGCAUGGCUUGAUUCAAUCUCCUUACUUGAAUGAGGAUAAUUGGAGAAGGACGCUCUACUCUGAACACGAUAUGCUUUGGUGGUCAUUGCCAAAACUUGCAUAGCACUCAUAGCCGCCAAUCUAUUUUCUUGUUGCAUAUACAACUGGACUACCUGCCUUGAGAAAAAGGCAGCUUUCCUCUGAUAACCAAGAGACCCAAAUAAGCGAGCUAUUUCAACAUACAAUAUGAGUCUAUCACUGGCAUCUAUCAAGGAUUUCGCACCAUCUGCAGCACUGGUUAGCAACUCCACAACAUCUUUAGUGAAUCCUCUUCUACAAAGAAAUCUUGCCAAUUUCAGAGUAGCUUCAAGUUCAAAGCUUAAAGGUGAAACUCUUUGAGCAUUGUCUGGUGUAAAUGACUUUUUGUAAUGCGAUAUCACACUAAUGUACCGAUACCUGACCUCAUCCUCAAAAACUGCAUCUUUUUGGCCCAUUUGGUCUAUCUGAUAGCAGGCAAAAUGAAUAGGUAAGUAAUUGCAUAAGCCUGUGGUAUGUCAAUAAAGAACUUAUUCAAUUUCAGCCACAUUUCAGCAGUUCAUACAGUAGUGGUGUUAUUCAAUCAAGAUUACUAUGGGAACCACAUUCUACAUAUCUCACAUCGUAUUGAAACAGAGUUCACACACAUCACAUUUUACAACUAAUAAAUGUUUUUAUUACCCUUCAAAUGCCAAGACGCCAUUCCAUAUGAAUUGAAUUCAUUGGUUCAUUGACAAAUUUAUUAACCUCACAAAUAAACAUAUCAAAAAAAUGGUACAAGAUUUCACAUAUGAUAAAUAAUAUUUGAGCUCAAAAAGCACGCAUACCAGUAGGGCACAAACGGUACCCUCCAAAGCCCCAGCAUACCAGAAGAAAUCCGCAGUCAAUCUAGCUAAUUCUAAGGCAGUGGAAUAGUGAGCAUUGGCAUCAACAGGUGACCCCGCCAACAAACAGUAAUCCCCAAUUGUUUUCUGUGCACGGGCCAGUCUUCUUUUUUUGGCCUUGAUCACCUCCUCUGAGCUUAGACUGGCUUGAGAAUCCAAAGGCGUCUUGAGAAUAGUUCCAGCAGAUUCCGCCUGUAGAACGCACUUUUCGAAUUCCAUUAGCAACGAAGCCGCAAUAUCUUGCAUCAUCGUUUGCAAAUGGAUCUCCACCGUUUGGCGAUCCGCCCGAGGAAAAAAUCUCAGAUUCUCGCCUUUCUUACCACCAUCCUCCAGCUGAGAAUCACAGGGGCAGAAAGCGAAACACAGCUUCACAAGCGCAGAGGAGUAACUUUUACACGCGACACUGAAUUGAUCGACGACGAAAUCGAGAUCAGGCGAGGAUGGACAGUGGCAGAAACCGAUGACAGCGAGGAUCUUGCGAUUGGACUGGAAAUCCUCCCAGGGGCUGGGCGGGGAGCCUCCGAGUACGAAUUUGAAACGGAGGGAGCCGUUGUCCCAUGGCUGAUUAGCAAAGGGGGAUUUCUGGUGCUCAGUGUAGAAGGAACUGAUGGCAGAGAGAGGGAUGGUGUGGUGACGCAGGAACAUGGAGUAGUAGUCGCGCAGGAUGUUGGGCGGGACCAGACCGAUUGGGAGGACAGCGAUGCGGAUCAUGCAGGAGGUCUCGAUGCUUACAUCGGGCUCCAUCUCGCUAUCAGACUGUGAAAGAAGAGGAUUUCACGGAUUGUUUAACAGUGGAAAUGGAGCAAAGAGAAGCAGAUUGGGUGAAGUGAAAGAGGAGACAGUAAGACGAGGUCGUUUAAGGUGUUUUUUGUUCCAAAGUUCCGGUGGUCACGGUUGGGAAUCGGAUUUGCGGGUCACCCAAUUCUGUUUUGGUAGGAA
rnacentral:misc_RNA from 1 species